rnacentral:rRNA from 1 species
UACGUAGGGGGCUAGCGUUGUCCGAAGUUACUGGGCGUAAAGCGCGCGUAGGCGGUCUCUUAAGUCCGGGGUGAAAGGUUCAGCGCUCAACGCGAACAGUGCCCUGGAGACUGGGGGACUUGAGUGUGGGAGGGGGCAGUGGAAUUCCUGGUGUAGCGGUGAAAUGCGUAGAUAUCAGGAGGAACACCGAUGGCGAAGGCAGCUGCCUGGCCUAACACUGACGCUGAGGUGCGAAAGCGUGGGGAGCGAACAGG